CGGAUAGAGCUAGCGAAGCCGUUCGUACUCAGCUGAUAACCGCGGGCUCUUUGCUGGUUGCAUUGUUAAAAGGCGGCUAGUGAUGUAGUCCUGUGGUCGAAGUGCAUUUACGAGCGAUUGCGCUGAGACUUGUGGGGCAGUGGCUGAACGAUCGACUAGAGGCUUCCCUCUGGGUUGUACCUUGUCGGGAUUACAGUUAUUUGCUCUGCUCGUACGGGCUUGGCCUACGAACCCUGUUGCUUAGGCGGUGCACGGUGGUGGAGUCACAUGUGACGCUCAUUGCCGGGUGCUUUCUCUGUAGCUUGUUGUUCACUUGCCCACUCUCGGUGUAGAAGCUGGUCAUCUAUCCGACCCGUCUUGAAACACGGACCAAGGAGUUUAGCGUAUGCGCGAGCCAUUGGGCGUUUAAAACCCACAGGCACAAUGAAAGUGAAGGCCCAGUCGCUGGGCUUACAUGUGAGUGGAAAGUCUUCGGACUACCAUGCAACAUGGUCCCGUUCUAAUUGCUUGCAAUGGAGCGGAGAUAGAGCGUAUGCGCUGAG
rnacentral:rRNA from 1 species